AGUGAACGCUGGCGGCAGGCCUAACACAUGCAAGUCGAGCGGCAGCGGGUUCCCGCGAGGGGAUGCCGGCGAGCGGCGGACGGGUGAGGAACACAUCGGAAUCUGCCUGGUUGUGGGGGAUAACGUAGGGAAACUUACGCUAAUACCGCAUGCGACCCUGAGUCGACGGACUUGGGGGUGAAAGUGAGGGACCUUCGGGCCUCACGCGACCAGAUGAGCCGAUGUCGGAUUAGCUAGUUGGCGGGGUAACGGCCCGCCAAGGCGACGAUCCGUAGCUGGUCUGAGAGGAUGAUCAGCCACACUGGGACUGAGACACGGCCCAGACUCCUACGGGAGGCAGCAGUGGGGAAUCUUGGACAAUGGGCGCAAGCCUGAUCCAGCCAUG
rnacentral:rRNA from 1 species